GCGGAUGUGGCGGAACUGGCAGACGCGCAUGGUUGAGGGCCAUGUGUUUCACGACGUGGGGGUUCAAAUCCCUUCAUCCGCA
rnacentral:tRNA from 2 species